rnacentral:lncRNA from 1 species
GUUUUGGUUUUGGAGGUUUGAUUGAGAGGGGAGAGAGAGAGGUGAGACUGUGAAUCGUGCUGUAGACAUGGCUAUUUGGGAUGACAGUUGAAACUGAAAUUUGAAUUUUAGAGGGAGGGAUAAAUAGAGACAAUACAACGACGUCGUUUGGAUUUCUGCUUUGCACAUGCCUUUCAUCCAAUGUACCCAUACGACGUCGUUUCCGCCUUUUCUGCAUUUGCACACAAAUACAC